GGCGCUAUAGCUUAUAUGGUGAGAGCAUAAGAAUCAUAAUCUUAAGGGAUGAGUUCGAUUCUCAUUAGCGUCU
rnacentral:tRNA from 1 species